CCUGAGAAACCUAAAAGAUCGAAUGAGGAGAUUCAUCGUCAGCGCUUUUAGUAUAUAUGCAAGUUCUUGAUAUUGAUACUGGCUUGUAUAUUUAUUGCUAAUUGUUGUCGGCGUGCACUUCUCCUCUAGUAGAACGUCGCGACCCGUUAAGUGUCGAUCUACGACCCAGACUUUGAUUUGUUGAAGACCACUGGUGUUGAAGACCACUGGUGUUUUCCGAUCGGCUGCUUGACGGGGUAUUAAGUCGCAUAAUAUAUAUUUGCGUUAUUGCGUUAGACCGACCACAAGCGUAAUUAGUCUGGCAGUGCGGACCUAGUGCCGUCGCUGGAGUUGUGUUCUCUAACAGACUUGAAAAAUAUAAAAUACCUGUCAGCGAUGCUACUGCUUUGGGUACUUUCAGGACCCGUCUUGAAACACGGACCAAGGAGUCUAACAUGUGCGCAAGUCAUUGGGAUUUAAAACCUAAAGGCGUAAUGAAAAUAAAGAUUGAC
rnacentral:rRNA from 1 species